rnacentral:lncRNA from 1 species
GCCAGCAGGAGAAGAUAGAAAGAGAAUUUGGUUCACUUAGCUUUAGGAUAUUAAUUCAUGGAGAGACUAUCGGCUCCAUUGGCAUGUAUUUUAGUUUUGAUUUUAAGUUAUGUUUGGUAAAUUCGCUAGGAAAAGAGAAUUAUAAUUUUGUUGAAAGUAGUUGUUAAAUCUUAAAGACGAUAAGACACUUGACAGAGAAUUGUUACAGGAUAGCCAAGGAUGAAGGCCCCAGGGAGAAUUGGACAUGUGGAAAAUGAAAGGCGGCAUCCUACAAGAGAAGGUCUGACAUAAGGAUCAUUUACUAAUCUUACCAAAGACAUUGUUUAGAAAUGCAGCAAUAUUGAUACAUGGGCUGAGCCAUGUAUCAAUAGGGGGGAAGAAUGGUAGAGCAGGUGAUAGAACAGGUUAGGAUAAUUACUUAAACCUCCAGACUACAGUAGAGACUAUUGAGACUCACCUCUAGACUACAGUAGAGACUAUUGAGACUCACCCCUAGACUAAACCAGACUAUUGAGACUCACCUCUAGACUACACUAGAGAAUAUUGACUAUUUCUUGAAUUGUUUAACACUUUUUUAGUUACUACAUGAUUCCAUAUGUAUUAUUUCAUAGUGUUGAUGUCUUCACUAUUAUUCAACAAUGUAGAAAACGCCCAUGACAUGCUGUUCAGCAUGUACACUGAGCUGCAGACACAGAAGAUCAGAAUCCCUGCUGAGAUGAACACCAACCUCAUGAUCCUCCACUCAUACAUACUGGUUAAGGUAGAACUACACUACCCAGCAUUUUCUACUGCUAUACCAUUACACUACCCAGCAUCCUCUACCACUACACUACCCAGCAUCCUCUACUGCUAUACCAUUACACUACCCAGCAUCCUCUACUGCUAUACCACUACACUACCCAGCAUCCUUUACCGUUAUACCACUACACUACCCAGCAUCCUCUACCGAUAUACCACUACACUACCCAGCAUCCUCUACCGCUAUACAACUACACUACCCAGCAUCCUCUACCACUACACUACCCAGCAUCCUCUACUGCUAUACCUCUACACUACCCAGCAUCCUCUACUGCUCUACCACUACCCAGCAUCCUCAACGGCUAUACCACUACACUACCAAGCAUCCUCUACUGCUCUACGACUACCCAGCAUCCUCUAUUGCAAUACCACUGCACUACCCAGCAUCCUCUACUGCUAUACAACUACACUAGCCAACAUCCCUUACCACUAUAGCACUUCACUACCCAGCAACCUCUACUGCCAUACCACUACACUACCAGGCAUCCUCUACUGCUAUACCACUACACUUCCCAGCAAACUCUACUGCCAUACCACGACACUACCAGGCAUCCUCUACUGCUAUACCGCUACACUUCCCAGCAAACUCUACUGCUCUACCACUACACUACCCAGCAUCCUCUACCGCUAUACCACUACACUACCCAGCAUUCUCUACUGCUCUACCACUACACUACCCAGAAUUCUCUAAUCCUAUACCACUACCCAGCAUCCUCUACUGCUAUACCACUACCCAGAAUCCUCUACUCCUGUACCACUACCCAGCAUCCUCUACUGCUCUACCACUACACUACCCAGCAUCCUCUACUGUUAUACCUUUACCCAGCAUCCUCUACAGCAAUACCACUACCCAGCAUCCUCUACUGCUAUACCACUAUCCAGCAUCCUCUACUGCUAUACCAUUACACUACCCAACAUCCUCUUCUGCUAUAGCUCUACAAUACCCAGCAUCCUCUACUGCUGUCCCACUUCCCAGCAUCCUCUACUACUAUAACACUACCCAGCAAUAUCCACUCAGGUAGAACUACUCUCCUGGGGGCCAGAUGAUGAUACCUGAUGCUGUGAUUAUGGAUUGACUGAUUUAUUGACUGGUUGAUGUAUUGAUUGGUUGAUGGAUUGAUGUAGUGACUAAUUGAUGUAUUGACUGGUUGAUGUAUUGACUGAUUGAUGGAUUGGUUGAUUGAUGUAUUGGAUCGUUGGUGUAUUGGUUGGUUGAUUGAUGUAUUGGUUGAUGUAUUGGUUGGUUGAUGUAUUGGUUGGUUGGUGUAUUGGUUGGUUGACUGAUGUAUUGGCUGAUGUAUUGGUUGGUUGACUGACAUAUUGAUUGAUGUAUUGGUUGAUGUAAAGGUUGCUUGAUUGAUGUAUUUGUUUAUGUAUUGGUUGACUGAUUGAUGUAUUGGUUGAUUGAUGUAUUGGUUAAUGUAUUGGUUGGUUGAUUGACAUAUUGGUUGAUUGAUGUAUUGGUGGGUUAGUUGAUUAUUGAUUGGUUGAUUACUGUAUUGGUUGGUUGAUGUAUUGGUUGGUUGAUGUGUUGAUUGGUUGAUUUAUGUGUUGGUUGGUUGAUGGAUGAUUUGGUUGGUUGAUUGAUGUAUUGGUUGGUUGAUUGAUGUGUUCGUUUGUUGGUUGAUGUAUUGGUUGAUGUAUUGGUUGGUUUAUUGAUGUAUUAAUUGAUGUGUUGAUUGAUGCAUUGGUUGGUUGAUUGAUGUAUUGGUUGAUGUAUUGGUGGGUUGAUGUGUUGAUUGGU